GCGGAGGAUUGGAUGGCCGCGGGCGGGGCAACCCGUUCGAGGAAAGUCCGGACUCCAUCAAGACACGGUGCCGGGUAACGCCCGGGCAGGGCAACCUGACGGAGAGCGCCACAGAGAACAGACCGCCUGUCACACCAGAGGUUCGCCGAUGGAAACCUGUGGCAGGUCAGGGUGAAACGGUGGGGUAAGAGCCCACCGCGGCGGUGGCAACAUCGCUGGCAUGGCAAGCCCCACCGGGAGCAAUGCCAAAUAGGGGCCGCGCGUGGGCAACCACAGGAUCGUCUUGAUCCGAGCAGGUCCGGGUUGGCAGCUAGAGGGCGGCAGGCAACUGUCGCCUAAGAUGAAUGGUCAUCGAAUUGCGGGUUACGGCUCACAAGGAACAAAAUCCGGCUUAUAGAUCCUCCGCGUUU
rnacentral:RNase_P_RNA from 1 species